AAGGGAGACCUAAUUCAGGUAUGGGACGAAAAAAAAGUAGUCCCAACCAAGAAUCAAUCCCAAAAGGUCGGAACGAGGUAUGAGGCUUUCAAACUAGGUUCUGGGUUCAUAAAAGACCUGAAUCAGGAACAAGGGCUAUUAGCUCAGGUGGUUAGAGCGCACCCCUGAUAAGGGUGAGGUCCCUGGUUCGAGUCCAGGAUGGCCCACCUGCACAGGUGGCAAAAACAAGAGAAGCUCCGAAUCAGCACCUUAUCUUAUAUACAUAUAUAAGAGAGAAUGCUGGCUCUGAGUACAGAGUCCAGAGGAACCUUGAAAACUGCAUAGAGCUAGGUGAAAAAGCCAAAAAAGAAGACCGCAA
rnacentral:tRNA from 1 species